rnacentral:lncRNA from 1 species
CCCCAAGUCACAGACAGAUCGGCUGCCCACCCUUCCUUUGAAACGUUCAUCGAGAAGACACUUCCUCCAGGCACCGCACUGGUUUCUAAGCAUCCAGCGACCAUGCUGAAACAGAGAAGAGGCAUGCCCAUCUCUGCUCCUGGCGAUGAGUUUUUCCAGGAAGAGGGACCUCCCGUUUUCUGCUCUGACUCCUCAGCACCCAGGGCUGUCUUCCCUUCCUCAUGAUUCCCCUAUCAGGAAAGCAGCCACUGAGCUCGAAGCCCCCAUCAGGUGGUCUCAUCUCAUGGUGAAGACGUACACGCAGGACAGACAUGGAGCAGCUCCCUCGCUCAGCCCCGGGCACAGAAGGGUCGCACCGGGCAGCACCUGCCCUGGAGAAGCCCACAUUUACCAGGUGAAAUGGACAAAUGAAGAGAAUGUUUUCAUAUAAUUGGGGUGUGUGUGUGUGUGUGUGUGCAAAUAGCAACGUGGGGUGUGCAGCCCUCCAGAAGGUCCAGGGAGGUUUCUGGAAUUGGUAACCCAGCAGAUGCAGGUGAACACAGCCGCCAGAGAAGGCCCGACUCCAGGAGCCGAGAACCUGGCUUCUCUCUCAAUCUUGUCCAUGUCCUUGGGGAAGACGGAAGACGGUGGAAACGGCCUAACUGAUCUCACGCCGGCAAACUUGUGGUUCCGGGAGGCCGAGGCCGCCUGCUCGCAGCUGCACGGAGCUGUCCUACUUGUAUCCCCACCUGGGCUCCUCGGAAGGCACCUGUUUCUAAAGGCUCAGGUCGCACGCGUUCUGCUGGAGCAUGACUCUCAUUAAGAGAGCCGGCUGCGUCACGCGGGGCAGUGCUAAUUGGAUGUGGUUGAAAGCUCAGGAGGGGAAGCAGAGACAGUCACUGACCUGUGCACGGAGCUGGUGACG